UACGAAGGGGGCUAGCGUUGCUCGGAAUUACUGGGCGUAAAGCGCACGUAGGCGGAUUGUUAAGUCGGGGGUGAAAUCCUGGAGCUCAACUCCAGAACUGCCUUCGAUACUGGCGAUCUCGAGUUCGGGAGAGGUGAGUGGAACUGCGAGUGUAGAGGUGAAAUUCGUAGAUAUUCGCAAGAACACCAGUGGCGAAGGCGGCUUACUGGUCCGGUACUGACGCUGAGGUGCGAAAGCGUGGGGAGCAAACAGG
rnacentral:rRNA from 1 species